GAAAUGCAAACGCCAUUCAAAUAGGCACACAUAAGACGUCAUCCAGUUUAUCCAUGUAGCAGAUGUGAGAUAAAAAGUAGAUGUCGUAAUCGUUCCAAUCUUUAUCAGAUGCUUUAUUCUUCCUUUGAUAAGAAAACAACAAACUUCAUCUUGAUGUAUAAAUAUUUUAUAAAUUCCAAAGAAUCCAACUGUGAUCGAGCUGUGAAUUUGAAUUUUAUGACGGUGUGUUCUCUUCUAAAAACACUUGAUUAAAUAUGAUUGCAGCAAUUAGGAAUACAUUUCGAUAGAUAUAAAAGGCAGCAGCAUCUCUCUAAUAGGCAGUUCAUUUGCAUUCGUUCAAAAUGAAGCAAAUUGCCAUCAUUGUCACAAUAGCAAUCGCUUGCGGUUUGUUUGGUUUCGGUGAAACUAAAACUUUCUCAGAAUGCGAGUUGGCUAAACUUUUACACAGAACUUACAACUUUGAUAAGAACAAGGUGAACAAUUUUGUAUGUCUAGCACAGGCUGAAAGCUCGCUUACCACAAGCAAAACCCACAAGAACAGCAAUGGAUCCACCGAUUAUGGGCUAUUCCAAAUCAACAAUAAGUACUGGUGCUCAUCUGCUGGAUUUACCUCAGGAAAUGAAUGCAAAGUCUCAUGUGCUGACCUGAUGACUAACGAUAUCACUAAAGCAGUCAAUUGUGCGAAUAAAGUAUUUGCACGGCACGGAUACAACGCUUGGUAUGGUUGGAAGUCUAAAUGUUCAAAAGGAGUGAAAGAUCUUUCAUAUUGCAUGUAAUGUGUUGUCUUUUUAUAAGGGUGCAAUAAACACAAGAAAGCCUUUUGCAAUUUA